rnacentral:rRNA from 1 species
GAUGAACGCUGGCGGCGUGCCUAAUACAUGCAAGUCGAGCGAACGGACGAGGAGCUUGCUCCUCUGACGUUAGCGGCGGACGGGUGAGUAACACGUGGAUAACCUACCUAUAAGACUGGGAUAACUUCGGGAAACCGGAGCUAAUACCGGAUAAUAUAUUGAACCGCAUGGUUCAAUAGUGAAAGACAGUUUUGCUGUCACUUAUAGAUGGAUCCGCGCCGCAUUAGCUAGUUGGUAAGGUAACGGCUUACCAAGGCAACGAUGCGUAGCCGACCUGAGAGGGUGAUCGGCCACACUGGAACUGAGACACGGUCCAGACUCCUACGGGAGGCAGCAGUAGGGAAUCUUCCGCAAUGGGCGAAAGCUUGACGGAGCAACGCCGCGUGAGUGAUGAAGGUCUUCGGAUCGUAAAACUCUGUUAUUAGGGAAGAACAAAUGUGUAAGUAACUAUGCACGUCUUGACGGUACCUAAUCAGAAAGCCACGGCUAACUACGUG